CAGAUGUUCAAUGUUACUGUGGAAUUCUACAACAUACUAAUUAGAAAUUUGAAACUUGCCAGUUUGUAAUAUCAUCAUCAUAUUAUAAUCACCGUGUUGUAUAUAUAUCUGUAUGUUUGUUCCAGAACUUCUCCUAGAUCAGUGAUUCUUAACCAUGGGGAAUGGGCCGCGAGUCACACCUUGAGGGCCAUAAAAAACUUUUAGUUUUACACCUCUGGGCCACGGGACAUCAGAAGUUCGUAAUUGAAGACACCAGGAACUACUGCUAUCCAUGAAAAUCUCAGUUACAAUACAGCUUCCCACCACUUGGUGGGAGUUGUUUAAUCAGUCUUAAUAAGCAAAGACACUCUGCCCGCCGUUUGCAGUUAGCAAAAGAUAUGGAGAAGUUUUUAAAUUGCAAAAAUGAAGAUGAAAGUGACAAAACCCCAAGGCAAGGGUUAGGGUGACUGGCAUCAUUAGGCAAAUUCUUGAUUGUGCAGGACAAGCUAAAUGGACCUACUGUUUUCUCCUGUAAGUGUGAAAACUAUCAAUUUCAUUUAAAAUAAUGCUGUGAACUCCAGAUGUUUUGCCAAGCUUUGUGAGAACAUGGAAGCAGAUCAUGUCCAGCUGCUCUACCACAGUGAGAAAAUCUUCUCUUGCAAAUUAUUAUGCUGACUUAAAGUUCACAGACAAAGUUGAAGCUUUCAAGAGGAAACUUGCUUUGUGGACUAAAAGGGCCCAGAAAAACAGGAUGGACAUGUUUCCACUUUUGUCCCACAUCUUGGAAAACUCCCCUCAGGUGAACAUCAGUGACUCUGUCAGCACCUUUCACAACUGACAGAGUUGACUGAUGAAUAUUUCCCUGAGGAGCCCAGAGAAGGACACGUGGAUUUUGGAACCAUUUUCUAUGGAUCCCACUGAAAAUGAUGUUGUUUUGCCCUCACAUCUGGAACCCCAGCUUCUGGAAGUUUCUACCGAUGGCACUUGAAAGUUUCAGUGGGGUCAUGGGCUCCUUCUGUAUUACUGUCUCAAAGGAGUACCCAUGUAAGAUAAGAUAAGAUAAGAUAGCCUUUAUUAGUCCCACACGUGGGAAAUUUGUUUUGUCACAGCAGGAAGUGGACAGUGCAAAAGUUAUAUAG
ensembl:lncRNA